rnacentral:rRNA from 1 species
UACGUAGGGGGCUAGCGUUGUCCGGAAUCAUUGGGCGUAAAGCGCGUGUAGGCGGUCCGGUAAGUCCGCUGUGAAAGUCGGGGGCUCAACCCUCGAAUGCCGGUGGAUACUGUCGGGCUAGAGUGCGGAAGAGGCGAGUGGAAUUCCUGGUGUAGCGGUGAAAUGCGUAGAUAUCUGGAGGAACACCGGUGGCGAAGGCGGCAUCCUGGACCAACACUGACGCUGAGUGAGCGAAAGCCAGGGGAGCAAACGGG